GAGGUACUCCCUCCGUAUGGAAAUACUUGUCAUCAAAAUGAAUAAAAGGGGAUGUAUCUAGAUGUAUUUUAGUUCUAGAUACACCCCUUUUUAUCUAUUUUGAUGACAAGUAUUUUCGGACGGAGGGAGUAGUCC
rnacentral:pre_miRNA from 1 species